rnacentral:misc_RNA from 1 species
AAGUCGUAACAAGGUAACCGUAGGUGAACCUGCGGUUGGAUCAUUAAAACAUGAAAAAAAAAAAAGUAUCUGAGCAUCGGAGGAGGGAGUCUUCCAUAGCACGCCGUUGUUGUGGGAUUCGCUUCAUCUGCUGGUGUUUGGAUCGCCUACUGGGCACAUCUUGUGAACCGUUCAAACCUCCCUUAGGGGGGGUCUUUGUCCAACUUCUGUAAAUCAUUGAUUCGGGAAAUGCCUCUGAGAAUGCCAUCGUGCGACGCGCGAUGAUUGGAAACAAAACAUUCAAAAACAACUUUUGGCAACGGAUCUCUUGGCUCUC